CUUUGGAGAGAGAAGUUCUAGAGCGUAGUUUCAAUUUACAUAAUGCGAGGGUAUAAACAGAGAAUGACUGUCGAUGAAGAAGUAGAGGAGGCUGGAAAAUUGCAAUCGAAUGAUAGCACGGUUGAAAUUGUACGGGAGGAAUUAAGAGAAGCUACGUUCACAAAGAGAAAGCAGAAUCGUACGUCCCAGUGGAGUAAGAAUCGCAAAAACUUGGGAGAAUCAGGGAAUCAAGUGUUUUCGACCGAAUAUGUUAAUGAAAAAGCGAAGCUUCUCAAGAGAAAAAAGAUAUCUCUUGAGGAUUAUAGAUAUCUGCCUAAUGCUCUCAUUCAGUCGGAGGAGAAUAUUUAUGCUUUUUUAAGCAUAGAUCAAAGUCUGUCGGGCCUGAUACGUGAUCUCUCUGGCAACAAUCCAACUUUUCAAUUGUAUGCAGCCAAUUGCUGCUGUAAUAUUGCUCUUGGAAAUGCAAAAGCAUGUACAACAUUGGGGAAAGCAGUUAUUCCGUAUUUACUUAUCGAGUUAGAAAGUUUAAAUCAUAUAUUGCUAGAGGUUUGCAUUUGGACAAUUGGUAAUUUAGUUGCAGGAAGUAAUGUGGCCUUUUCUAUUCUACAUGCACAGCACUGUUUGAAAUAUUUAACUUUAUUGUUAUCCAAUUGUGACGACUCGAUACUUCCUUCUGUGAUAUAUGCACUUUUACAUUAUGUACAUGUGGGAUUUUAUGAGAUCUCGAAAAGUGAUAUGGAAGAACUUGUUCAAGUUAUUGUAAAGCGAAAUAUUUUGUAUGAGAAAUCAAAUUUCAUUUGGUUGUUAGCAUUAUUAUCCUCUUCAACAAUAUGCAAGACAUAUUUACAUUCCAUUUUGCCGCAAAUUGUUGACCAUCUUUACCUAUUGAGUUCUGGUCCAGAUAAAUUAGCUCAUGUCAAUGAGAUUACAGCAUCUAUACGUAUACUAGCUAACACGUUACAUAAUUCUUGUGAAAAUAAAGCAGAUAUUCUUUUGAGAAACUCAAAAUACUCACAUGAGGAUUUAUGUCUUUUGUUAAACAAAUUGUUAUCACAUCAAUAUAUGCAUAUUAGAAGGGAAACCUUAUGGUUAAUAGGAAAUUUAUACAAUCACAGAUCAUCUAGCGUUGGUAAAAAUGUAAGAGACCUUGUACCCUUUCUACCAGCACUAAACCAGGCUUUUCUCGCAAUUAGUAAUUGUGCAUAAGUACAAACUUUCUUGACGAUUCCGAGGAAGAAUAUCGGUUUUUCCUUGUGUCUUCUAUACAUGGGACUUUGACGAUAUUGAAGUAUAUCUGUCCCAUCAGAUUAGCCGUUGGGUGAUUGGCAGCUUUUAAGCACUGAUAAAGCGCCUUGUCGCAAGUACAAUGUGACCUGUGAAGCAGUGAAAAACUUGUAAAUGAUUGCUUCGAGAAAGGGACAACUUUGAGACUGUUAUCAGGUAAGAGCCGCUGCAGCAUUUUGACAAGGAAAGGAAAGGAAAAGCUGUCUACCGGCAUGAUGAGGCCCGGAACAGUGGCAACAUAUAGGAUUAUUCCGUGGUCUGGGACAAAACUCAACGCUGUGCGGCUCGCCGCAGCGGACGCAUCGCGGCAAGUGCCGACAAUUGGCGGCCACGUGCCAAAAACCCUGGCACCGAUAACACUGCAACACGCCAUCCGCCAUUUGCGGUGCAUUCGACGUCUCCUGAGAAUUGUUCCCGUAGUCUGUUAAGGCGUAUCGCGACGAUACAGCGGAGGAACAUGGGGUGUUGCUGCGCCACCAGCGUUCCGGGAUGGCAUUGAAACGUGCCACUUCGAAGAAGUUCAGACCUUGACGUAAUAAGGCUUCGUAGUGACCCGCGUCGAAAACCUAUGCGACAAAUGAGCAAUAUAAAUAUUUUUUAUUUUUUAAAUUCAUUAUUUUAUUUGUUAGAUUUAGGUAUUAUGUUUUUAUCGAUAAUUCUGCGAUAGACUUAUGUUAGUUUCCAUCCGCUACCUUAACGACUAUACUUUCAUCUUAGUUUUUUUAUUGCAAAUAGUGUACAAUUGGAAAGUCAACUUUCGAAACCUGUUGAGCGUAUCUUAGCUAUUUCACAUAAGCCGGAUGCAAGAACCAGUAUUUUUACAAUGACAUAAUAUCUGACAUUUCUAUGCAUUUUAAUAAUAGAAGCAAAGUCUAUAUAUUUGAGCUUUGGGCGUAUACGUAUUUAAUUUGAUGCGUUAAUUUUCGAUUAUAAAUAACUGAUUAUUAUUUAAAAUUAUUACAACGACUUAAUUAUACGAAUUAGUAGAGUGUUAAGAAUGGAAAGGUAGAUAACUAGUUUUUACUUCUACUCGAACCAAAUGUCGCGAACGUUCGACAUUUCCAGCGACAAUUCCUUGCUUUGCCAGAGCCGAAUUUAUAUCCUGAAGAGGUAUAGCCCACGGAACAUCUCUCAGAAGUACGGCUUGACGAUAUCGAGAAUCUCUUGCUGAGAAUCGCGCUACCUGAGACAUAAAUCCAAUAUAAAUUAAAAAUUGCUUUCAAACUUAAAUGUUUGAAUUCGCUGAAUAAUUAUAGCAAUGUAUUCUCAGAAUUACCAAAACAUUCAUUAUGAAAUAAUUCCUUUCUCAGUAGAGUAUUCUAGACAAAAUUUUAUGCGAAAUAAAAUAUCUAAAUUCUCACGCAAUUUAAAAUUGUACAGUCUUGUUGAAAAUUAUAUAAUAAGUUUUGUCUGAAACGGACUAUGCACACAACUUUUUAAACGAUCAUGUGUGUCUUGUGAAAUCUGAUGGAAUUGAAAGUAUUAUAAAAAAAAUCUUGUACUUGUACAGGUCGUCCAAACACUCGAGCCAGAUCGCCGCGUUGCAGUAGUUUCUCGGCGUCGUUUUCUCUGGCAAAGGCGGCAAUUAGACCGCAUGGAGUUUCGGAAACUCGCCACGUCGAUAGCGGUUCAGAAGCAACAAUAGCUUCUUCGAGAUGAGAUCGUAGCAACUCGCAACCUGAUCAAUAACGAAUUAAUUAGAAAUCAGGUAGAAAUUACGUAAACGAGAUUGUAAGUUUCUAUCUUUAGAGCGCAUUAGAUAUUGCAUAUUGCACCUUGCAUCGUAUGACCUUGGUCUUGAAGGUCGCCAGCGCGCGAAAUGUAUAGAGAACAGGUGAACAAUGCCUCCUCCUGCAUAGCGGAAACCUCAUUAUUAUGCGAUGUCAGGUUUAAGAUUGCCUUAUCUGCUUGAUUAUUCUCUUCGAUCCUGCUUUGUACAGAAGAAUUUGCAAUUUCCUCCAUUCUGUCCGCCACGUAAUCGGGAUGGUAACUGGAAUUUUUAUGCAUAUAGGGAAUCGAUCUUUAUACACACAUGCAAUUUCUAUUUCUUAAAUAUUACAAAUAUAUUUUAUUACGAAUA